UACAGGGGGGGCAAGCGUUGUUCGGAAUUACUGGGCGUAAAGGGCUCGUAGGUGGCCAACUAAGUCAGACGUGAAAUCCCUCAGCUUAACUGGGGAACUGCGUCUGAUACUGGAUGGCUUGAGUUUGGGAGAGGGAUGCGGAAUUCCAGGUGUAGCGGUGAAAUGCGUAGAUAUCAGGAGGAACCCCGGUGGCGAAGGCGGGUCUCUGGGCCGAUACUGACGCUGAGGAGCGAAAGCGUGGGGAGCGAACAGG
rnacentral:rRNA from 1 species